AUUGAACGCUGGCGGCAGGCCUAACACAUGCAAGUCGAGCGAACGGCGGACGGGUGAGUAAUGUAUGGGGAUCUGCCCGAUAGAGAGGGAUCACUACUGGAAACGGUCGCUAAUACCGCAUACUACAGGAGCGGCCGAUAUGGGAUUAGCUAGUGGGUGGGGUAAAGGCUAACCAAGGCGACGAUCCAUAGCUGUUUUGAGAGGAUGACCAGCCACACUGGGACUGAGACACGGCCCAGACUCCUACGGGAGGCAGCAGUGGGGAAUAUUGCACAAUGGGCGAAAGCCUGAUGGAGCCAUGCCGCGUGUAUGAAGAAGGCCUUCGGGUUGUAAAGUACUUUUGGCAGAGAAGCGGUAUCUACAGAAUAAGCACCGGCUAACUACGUGCCAGCAGCCGCGGUAAUAC
rnacentral:rRNA from 1 species